rnacentral:misc_RNA from 1 species
UGUGGGAGCGAGCCUGCUCGCGAUGACGGAGUGUCAGUCACUGUCAAUGUUGACUGAUGCUCCGCUAUCGCGAGCAGGCUCGCUCCCACA